UUGUUUUCUAAAUCUAACAUGUUGUUUUGUUUUCUCAAUCUAACCUAAAAUGGGAAGUAACGAUGUCAUAUGAACUGUUUUCUGAGGAAAUGUCGACAUUCUAGGAUUCAUACAUAUUGAUACACACCCAAAGCCUUUUGUUGCAACAUGCAUGUCUUUGAUCUAGACUGAUGCAAGCGGUUGAAACACAAGUCAAACAGACUGAGUGACUUUUUGGCAAAUAUCCAGACUCAGUGAUACUGCUCUCCAUGGUCGUCAGCGGAGGUGUGUUAAUGACCACAUCAUCCAACAUUUCACCUCUUCCUCUGGCUCAUAAAGUUAUAUACAGUAUAUUAUACUUUAACAUUUAACCAGGUUAUUUUAGUAUUUGGAGAGCCGGUGAAAGUUACACUUAUUUAUAUCUUACAACGUUUGGUGUCCUCACCACCACCCGGGUGGCCCUGGAGCUCACAUAGCAGACAUUCCUCAGGGCCACAAACAGCAGUGAUGUCAGUGGGUGAUGCAACUCCUCCUCCUCCUCCUCCUCCUCUUCCUCCCUCCUCCUCCUCCUGCUCCUCCUUCUCUUCCUCCUCCUCCUUCUCCUCCUUCUCCUCCUCCUCCUCUUCCUCCUCCUCCUCGGUAUAAAUGUGUGCCGCCUGGAUUUAGACUCACUGGACGAGCUCUUUGACUGAACCUCCGGUAACUGUCCCUCCGAGGUUCGUGGUCUGCAGACGGCAGGAAGGCGUCUCCGUGGAGGACCAGACGUCUUAAUUGGUUUCCGGAUGCGCGUGUCGCGCUCACGCGCCAAUACGUUCAGAUUUAAUAACUUUUAAUGAUCCAGGAAGUGCAGCAUCACACGCACGUGAAUAACCACAGGUACAAACAAAAUAUUUAUACACACACAGUACCCCGAGUUGUACUUAUACUGCAGUACUGUCUCAGGUGUAAAGGAUUGAUUUAGUACAUGAAGAGCAAUACAUCAUGUACUAUAAAUCCUUAAGGGACUAAAUACUUCUCCUCCUUAAGGGACUAAAUACUUCUCCUUAAGGGACUAAAUACUUCUCCUUAAGGGACUAAAUACUUCUCCUCCUCCUUAAGGGAAAAAUACUUCUCCUCCUCCUUAAGGGAAUAAAUACUUAUUCUCCUCCUUAAGGGACUAAAUACUUCUCCUCCUUAAGGGACUAAAUACUUAUCUUUCUUAAGGGACUAAACACUUCUCCUCCUUAAGGGACUAAACACUUCUCCUCCUUAAGGGACUAAACACUUCUCCUUAAAUGACUAAAUACUCCUCCUUAAGGGACUAAACACUUCUCCUUAAAUUACUAAAUACUCCUCCUAAAGGGACUAAACACUUCUCCUCCUUAAGGGACUAAACACUUCUCCUCCUUAAAUGACUAAAUACUCCUCCUAAAGGGACUAAAUACUUCUCCUCCUUAAAUGACUAAAUACUCCUCCUUAAGGGACUAAAUACUUCUCCUCCUUAAGGGACUAAAUACUUCUCCUCCUUAAGGGACUAAACACUUCUCCUCCUCCUAAAGGGACUAAAUACUUCUCCUCCUUAAGGGACUAAAUACUUCUCCUCCUCUGCUUUAAUGAAUAAAGUAGUAUGACUUGUGCGUCUGAAUCGUUUCCCUUCAGGUGAGUCAGUCAGCUGAUCAGGUGACAACUUGUUCAGGUGACAUUCCCGUCGAGCCCUAAAAGCAUCGAGCUGCAGGCGUGUGUCUGAUCCCCGGCGGGAUAACCGGCAUCCGCUGCGGUUUGGACUCAUUACAACUGGCUCACGAUCUACUUCCUGUCUCCUGUAACGUGAUUUUAAUUUGUCGUGUAUUAUAAUUCACCAACUGCGAAAAUAAGACGACCACGUGGGAUUCAACGAGCCGAUGUUAAUGGCUCGUUAUAAUAUUCCUGAGCAUCCCCACCCACAGUUUGAGAUCUACCUGUAUCAAGGUGCGCCAUACAAGCCCAUGUGAGAGGCCUCUUAAAGAGACAGGCGCCUAAACGGAGCAUUUCAGACAGAUGGCGAAUACAGUUAUUUUCAGACGAGUGAGAGAAAUAAUGUUUAGUUUUUGAACCUGAAGUUGAAAAUUAAUAUUUUAUGUCUCCUUUAACUGUUUUCUUCUUUGGCAUCUGACAUGAUUAUUAUGGCCAAAAAUAAAAGCGAUUGACAU